AAGAGAAAAAAAAGAUCCUUUGGGGGAAAUUGUGUGAUUGUCUUAUUUAAAUCAGAACUUUCCCCAUAUAAUCUACUUUCCAGUAGUGCUUCAAUUAUUUAAUACAUGGUUUUUCAUUAGCUUUGAACAUUUUAAAACAGCAACCAAAGGUACAUUUUUAAUGUGACAUGUAGAAUUCAUACACUAACAGGUGUUAGGAAAUGCAGACUGGGAAAUUAUUGCAAUCAAAUGGCAUAGACAAUAUUACAGCACAUAUUCCCUCAACCUUCUCUAGGUAAAAUUGAACUCAUGUCAGCUCUGCUGCAGCAAUGACAAAAGGAUUUAGUGAUUGGGGAGAAGGAGAAGGAGUAAACAACCUGUCUUUAACCUUUCAGGAGAUGGAGCUCACUCAGCAGGCAGGAUAUCAGGGCUACAGGAAGGCAACUGCACUGUGCAAGCACAGCCAACAGGAAGUGAAUACAAACAGAUUCUCCUCAACAUAAACACACACAGACUUCACCUAUGGCUGAACUUCUGCCCUUGGGUGACCAACACCAUUAGGACACAGGUCAAAAGGUGGUAGGACCGAAAAUGCAGCCUUAUUGAAUGAAAGAGAAAAUGAAAAAAAUUCUUUUGUUUGCUUCACUCUGUGAUUUGUAUAGCUACUGUGAUGUCAUAAUGAAGUCCAGAGUGGGAAAAAGAAGUCCCUGAUAUAUCACAGUCUGAGAAAGGCAGUUGGAAAUUGUUAAGCAUGAAAGAAAAAAUCAUGUGGAAGACGUACACAAAAUAAAAGCAGGUCUCACUGCUUUUCAAGGGGAGUGUAGAAGUGAUAAUAAGGGUACCCUUAUGUAAAACUGCCACAAGCUCUCAGAAGUGAGACUUUAGCUCCUUACAAAUGCUGAGCAGACGUGAACACCCUCCUGGGAGAUUGAUGAGUCCUAUUAAUCUUGUUGCAUAGAUGGAAACUCAGAAACAAAGUGACUCUGAGGAUUAAGAGGAAGUCAAUGUCAGCACCAGGAUUAGAAUUCACACUUGCCUGGUUUCUUAGCCCACGACCAGCUCCCCCAUGGAUUCCUGCUUUGUCUCCCUCCCAAGUGAGGGGACAGGGUGUUUCCAAACUUUAAAAGAAUCCUGUUAUCCUCAGGUCUCUGCCUUGUAGGAAGAUCCUUUCUUUUAAUAAAUUACAGAGCUGA